rnacentral:rRNA from 1 species
AGCGUAAGGGUGCGUAACACGUAUGCAAUCUGCCCUGUACAGGAGGAUAGCUCGGCGAAAGCCGGAUUAAUACUCCGUAAUAUUAUGGGAAGGCAUCUUUUUAUAAUUAAAGUCGCAAGAUGGUACAGGAUGAGCAUGCGUCUGAUUAGCUAGUUGGUAGUGUAACGGACUACCAAGGCGAUGAUCAGUAGGGGAACUGAGAGGUUGAUCCCCCACACUGGCACUGAGAUACGGGCCAGACUCCUACGGGAGGCAGCAGUAGGGAAUAUUGGUCAAUGGAUGCAAGUCUGAACCAGCCAUGCCGCGUGCAGGAAGAAGGCCUUCUGGGUUGUAAACUGCUUUUGCCGGGGGAUAAAAUUCCCAUGCGUGGGACAUUGAAGGUACCCGGUGAAUAAGCCACGGCUAACUACGUGCCAGCAGCCGCGGUAAUACGUAGGUGGCAAGCGUUGUCCGGAUUUAUUGGGUUUAAAGGGUGCGUAGGCGGCCUAUUAAGUCAGUUCUGAAAUAUCCCGGCUUAACCGGGAGGGUGGGAUUGAUACUGAUGGGCUUGAGUGGAGUCGAGGUAGGCGGAAUUGACGGUGUAGCGGUGAAAUGCUUAGAUAUCGUCAAGAACACCGAUAGUGUAGACAGCUUACUAGACUUCAACUGACGCUGAGGCACGAAAGUGUGGGGAUCAAACAGGAUUAGAUACCCUGGUAGUCC